GAAGGAGGAAAGGAUGAAGGGAGGAGCUAAACUGGGACUCAAGUACAGAAAACACAAACUUUCACAGUGGAGUUUGAUCCAGAAAACAGACAGAUUGUCUUCAUCUUCAAGAUGCUGUCAGUGAACUUGAGUCUGUUUGUCACUUUGUUUCUGCUCACAAUAAGAGGGUGUAAAGGAGAAGACAAAGUGACACAGCCACCAGGAGAUGUCAUUGCUGCUGAAGGAGACACAGUUACACUGAAUUGUACUUUUGACACCAUUGACCUAAGUCCAACUCUCUUCUGGUACAAACAGGAAGUAAAUGGUUCCCCACAGUAUAUGAUGAAAAGUUUCUCAAAGUCUGUGGAUAAAGCUCCAGAGUUCCAGGAAGACAGACUUCAUACUGGAAUCCAGGAUAAGUCAGUUCCUCUGAAGAUCCAGAAACUUCAGCUGUCUGACUCUGCUGUGUACUACUGUGCUCUGAAGCCCACAGUGACAGGAAACAGCAAAACUCUGUACAAAAACCUUUGGAGCAAAGACAAGAGAAAACUCCACAACAUCCACUGGAGGGAGACACACUCCGUUAAAGCUCUGACUUGUGACUUGUUGGACUGA